UGGAGUGCAGUGGCACGAUCUCGGCUCACUGCAACCUCUGCCUCCUGGGUUCUAGCAAUUCUCCUGCCUCAGCCUCCUGAGUCACUGGGAUUACAGGCACACACCGACACGCCCGGCUAAUUUUUUGUAUUUUAGUAGAGAUGGGGUUUCACCAUAUUGCCCAGGCUAGUCUCAAACUCCUGAGCUCAGGCAAUCCACCCACCUUGGCCUCCCAAAGUGCUAGGAUUACAGGCAUGAGCAACUGAGCCCGGCCUAUUGGCACUUUUGAGUGGAUAUGUCAAUAAAUCAAUUGUAAACAUGAAUCUGAAUCUUAGGAGAGAGGUAUAAACUAUAUACAUGUGGGUCAAAAUUAGAUCAGGUAUGGAGUUAAUAUAAACAGAGAUUUUAAGACUUUCCAGAUCAAAUCUUAAGGCACUUCAACAAAGUAGACUGAAAAGGAGCAGAGUUGAAGACAAAAAUAAGGACUGUCAUUAUUCGUUACUGUAAAUCAUAAAGAAUAAUCUUAGAAUAUGCUUAAUAAAAAUACUAAAUAUGGUCUUUUUUAUCAAAAAACAUCUGCUAUCCCUUGGGGCUAUCAAAGCACAUGUCCAUAUGAAGCUACCACAAUGUUUUCAGAAAAUUGUGUAUUCUGAAAAUGUCUAUUCACUGGCACUGAAAAAAAGUUUUCAGAGUUGACUGAUAAUACUUCCAGAAAAAAUAAAUGCUACAGAUUCUGAAUACUUCAUGAAGCUAUGGGAGGGUCUCACUUUGUCACCCAGAAUGGAGUGCAGCAGCCCAAUCAUGGCUCACUCAAUCUUCAACCUCUCAGGCUCAAGCAUUUCUCCCACUGCAGCCUCUUGAGUAGCUGGGACUACAGGUGGGUGCCACCAUGUCUGGCUAAUUUUUUUUUUUUUUUUUUUAAAGAAACAGAAUCUCACUAUGUUGCCUAGGCUGGUCUCAAAUUCCUGGGAGCAAGCAGUCCUCCUACCUUGGCCUCCCAAUGUACUGGGAUUGCAGGCAUGAACCACCUUAUCCAGCUACAAUAUGUUUUUAUAAGGCAAAGUAACU
rnacentral:lncRNA from 1 species